rnacentral:lncRNA from 1 species
AAACAAUAAAGUAUUCAUAAGGAACAUUUAUAAAACACAAUAAGCAUAAAGAAAAAAUUACCACGUGGAGAAGCAUUUUAAGGCGUAUAUUCUUGACUCUUUCUUUUCCUCCCUCUCUCCCAACUUCCUCUCUUCUUUUCUUUUCUAUUUCAUUUCACUAAAAUAAAAUCAUACUGUUUCUAACCCCUUUUAUUUACCUCCUGUAUUAUGAACAUCUUUUUGUGAUAAAUACAUAUUAAUAUAUAAUUAUUAAUGGUUGAGAAAUAUUCCUUUGUGCUAUAAAUCAUUUGACUUGUUUCUAUUUUUUAAUACUUUUUCUGAUUUUAUAAAGAACACUUCUAUUACUAUUUUUAUUCAUGAAUCUUUGCAUAUUUCUCUAGGAUGGGUUCCUGGAGGUGGAAGUGAUGGUUAUGCAAGGUGAACACUUUUAACGGUUUCACCAAAUUGCCUUCCAAAAGAUUUUCCCAAUUCUGUUCUAAAAGCAGCUAUAAAAGGGCACAAUUCCCUACACCUUCAUCAACUGGCCAGUUUAGGCUGGACGUAUAGUACCAAGGACACUGGGGCUGGCCAAGCAGAGAUAUCAGCGGACUAAGCCGACUACAGCAUAUUCGGGGAGCAGGAUGUUGAGUUCAAAUGGAAUUUUAGUUUUGUGGAGAAUUUGUACAGAUGUGCUGCAUGUCAGUUUUCAGAAACUAAUGCAAGAAAAAAAUUAAAACAGAGUGCUUGUUUGUUUUUGUUCAUCUCCUGAAAGGAUGUAAGGCGGGGCACGGACAGGCUACAACCCAGUUUGACCCUGCAUCACUGGGAAGGGCCGUGGAUGCUGCAGGGCCUCCGGGUUGGGUGUAGAUGCCACGUGGACCAGACUUUGCUUCCAGGCUUUUGUGACAUUGUGAGGUUUAAGGAGAGCAGUGCUGGAAAGGAAUAGAAGUGAACAGGAAAGUGCAUCAGCUCUGAAAACAAUCCCAAGUUAAAGGAUCCGAGAGUUCAAAGUUCGAGAGCAACUCCCUCAAGGAAGGUGGGCACAAACUAUUGUCUACAAUGCGGACCAAAAAGACUCGUUUGCAAACAAGAGCGUUUUCUUUAAAAAAAAAAAAGUGAAAGAAAGAUGUUAAAACUAGGUCAGAUUAUUGUCUAAAGUUUUCUAUUUAGGGACAAAUAUCAAAUGAUGAGAUUUUUCCCUCUACAAACCAUUUGUGUUUUGAAAUCCAUCUUUUUCUCUUUAUUUCACUUAUUUUGUAAUCUCUGCUAGAUACUUAUAUGUAGGAAGACGUGAAACUUCAACAAGAGUGCAAACGGAGGAGGAAUGAUAUUAGGUUCCUGCGCUGGGGAGCAGUUUCUGUGAGAUGUGGAGCCCGAGGGACUGAGCGGGUAACCGGGGGGAGGGGGCAGUUGGGAAAAGCAGCCCUGUGCUGCCCUCAGCUCUGGGAGUGAGCUACACCAGGUGGUCACUGAGCUGUCUGUCUGCUCACCAAAACUUGCUUUUCUAACUAACUACAAUGUAAACAAGAACCCCUGAGGCCCCACCGCUUACGUGCUGGGAGCCGGCGAUCCCUGGAGUUCCUUGCACAGCUCAAACGCCGUAUCAUUCAACUCUUUGAAUCCAUUUUUGAAGUGUCUUAUUUUCCUUUAGUGAUUAUUGCCUUAAAUAACCACGUAGGAGAAAGAUUUUAAUUUUAGCGUCUCGGUUCUGUGGAACCUUAUUUAUAACCCCAGACCAGUUCCGUUUUUACGUUUCUAAAAACUGAGAUAAGAAACAUCUGAUCCUUCGCAGAGAACAGCAAGUAUUCCAUUUGGUUGUUUAAGAGCUGGUUUAAAAGGUCCGUCAUAACACAUUUUCAAUAAAAUAUUUAUAAAUGAAAACA